rnacentral:rRNA from 1 species
ACGCUAGCUACAGGCUUAACACAUGCAAGUCGAGGGGAAACGGCAUUAAGUGCUUGCACUUUUUGGACGACGACCGGCGCACGGGUGAGUAACGCGUAUCCAACCUUCCCAUGACUAAGGGAUAACCUGCCGAAAGGCAGACUAAUACCUUAUGGUCUUCACUGACGGCAUCAGAUGUGAAGUAAAGAUUUAUCGGUUAUGGAUGGGGAUGCGUCUGAUUAGCUUGUUGGCGGGGUAACGGCCCACCAAGGCAACGAUCAGUAGGGGUUCUGAGAGGAAGGUCCCCCACAUUGGAACUGAGACACGGUCCAAACUCCUACGGGAGGCAGCAGUGAGGAAUAUUGGUCAAUGGGCGAGAGCCUGAACCAGCCAAGUAGCGUGCAGGAUGACGGCCCUAUGGGUUGUAAACUGCUUUUGUAUGGGGAUAAAGUCAGUCACGUGUGAUUGUUUGCAGGUACCAUACGAAUAAGGACCGGCUAAUUCCGUGCCGGCAGCCGCGGUAAUACGGAAGGUCCGGGCGUUAUCCGGAUUUAUUGGGUUUAAAGGGAGCGUAGGCUGGAGAUUAAGUGUGUUGUGAAAUGUAGACGCUCAACGUCUGACUUGCAGCGCAUACUGGUUUCCUUGAGUACGCACAACGUUGGCGGAAUUCGUCGUGUAGCGGUGAAAUGCUUAGAUAUGACGAAGAACUCCGAUUGCGAAGGCAGCUGACGGGAGCGCAACUGACGCUGAAGCUCGAAGGUGCGGGUAUCGAACAGGAUUAGAUACCCUGGUAGUCCGCACAGUAAACGAUGGAUGCCCGCUGUUGGUACCUGGUAUCAGCGGCUAAGCGAAAGCAUUAAGCAUCCCACCUGGGGAGUACGCCGGCAACGGUGAAACUCAAAGGAAUUGACGGGGGCCCGCACAAGCGGAGGAACAUGUG